GCUGCCUCUAGAGGCACAGCAGGUGUGUCUGCUGUGGCACAAAUGCAUCAGUAGGUGGCAGAGAGGAGAAAGGCUAUUUCUCACUCAGUGUUCUGACCUAUGAACAUCUGAAUGUAGUGGCCUAACAUU